rnacentral:rRNA from 1 species
GACGAACGCUGGCGGCGGGCUUAACACAUGCAAGUCGAACGAGAAAGGGUCCUUCGGGACCUGAGUACAGUGGCGCACGGGUGAGUAACGCGUAGACAACCUACCCCCAGGUGGGGAAUAACUACGGGAAACCGUAGCUAAUACCGCAUAAUGUCAGAUGGCCGCAUGGCCGACUGAUCAAAGCUUUAUGCGCCCGGGGAUGGGUCUGCGUUGGAUUAGCUAGUUGGUGAGGUAACAGCUCACCAAGGCAACGAUCCAUAGCGGGUCUGAGAGGAUGAUCCGCCACACUGGCACUGAGACACGGGCCAGACUCCUACGGGAGGCAGCAGUGAGGAAUAUUGCGCAAUGGAGGCAACUCUGACGCAGCCACGCCGCGUGCAGGAAGACACCCCUCA